AUUGAACGCUGGCGGCAUGCUUUACACAUGCAAGUCGAACGGUAACAGGCCGCAAGGUGCUGACGAGUGGCGGACGGGUGGGUAAUUCAUCGGAACGUGCCCAGCCGUGGGGGAUAACUACUCUUAAGAGUAGCUAAUACCGCAUACGAUCUAUGGAUGAACGCGGGGGUCCGUAAGGCCUCGCUCGAUCGGAGCGGCCGAUGCCAGAUUAGUUAGAUGGUGGGGUAAAGGCUCACCAAGCCAACGACCUGUAGCGGAUCUGAGAGGACGACCAGCCACACUGGGACUUGAACACGGACAAGACGCCUACGGGAGGCAGCAGUGGGGAAUUUUGGACAGUGGGCGCAAGCAUGAUCCAGCAAUGCCGCGUGCAGGAAGAAGGCCUUCGGGUUGUAAACUGCUUUUGUACGGAACGAAACGGCUCUGGUUAAUACCCGGGGCUAAUGACGGUACCGGAAGAAUAAGCACCGGCUAACUACGUG
rnacentral:rRNA from 1 species